GGCUUUGCACAGCGGCAGUGUCGUAGCCAAUGAGAUUUAUCUGAGGUGCGAUUAUUGCUAAUUGAAAAUG
rnacentral:snRNA from 1 species